CAAUUCUAUAUGAAUUACAAAAUUUUAUUGUAAAUAAAAAUAAAAUUCA
rnacentral:tRNA from 1 species